rnacentral:rRNA from 1 species
GUGGGGAAUCUUCCGCAAUGGACGGAAGUCUGACGGAGCAACGCCGCGUGAGUGAAGAAGGUUUUCGGAUCGUAAAGCUCUUUCGUUAGGGACGAACGUGCUCUUUGUGAAUAAUGAGGAGUAAUGACGGUACCUAAAUAAGAAGCCACGGCUAACUACGUGCCAGCAGCCGCGGUAAUACGUAGGUGGCAAGCGUUGUCCGGAAUUAUUGGGCGUAAAGCGCGCGCAGGCGGGAUAUCAAGUCUGUCUUAAAAGUGCGAGGCUCAACCUCGUGAGGGGACAGAAACUGGUAUUCUUGGGUGUCGGAGAGGAAAGUGGAAUUCCAAGUGUAGCGGUGAAAUGCGUAGAGAUUUGGAAGAACACCAGUGGCGAAGGCGACUUUCUGGACGAUGUCUGACGCUGAGGCGCGAAAGCUAGGGGAGCGAACGGGAUUAGAUACCCGAGUAGUCC